ensembl:snRNA U6 U6 spliceosomal RNA
GUAGUAUAGCAGCACAUAUACUAACAACCACAAAAAAUGGAAUAAUACAGAGAAUUUUAGCACGGCCCCUGUGCAAGGAUGACACGCAAAUUCAUGAAGCACUCCAUAACUUU